rnacentral:lncRNA from 1 species
CUUUUUACAUGUGCUUUUAUCAAUAAGCUGUUUUAUUACUACUCUUGGAUUCCUGGUUGCUGUUGAGUGCAAGGUGAAUUCUGGCUGGGCUGCAACAGAUGGGGCAUACGCAGCCCCACAUGCCUAGCCAGGGCCGGCCCAAGGCAAGGGCCGGCCCAAGAAGACUUAUGGAACCUAGUAGGUUCCAGAAUGCUCUGAAGGAUCUGGAGCCUGUCAGCGACUCAAUCGAUGUGCAGGUGGACACGUGGAACAUCAGGCUGUCCAAUGCACUCGACGAGAUCGCCCCUAGACGCCCUCUCCAACCCCGCCGAAAUCGGUCUCCUUGGUUCACCGAGGAACUUCGAUCGAUGAAGCGGGAAAAGAGACGGCUAAAGGGCGUGUGGCGAGAACUUCAUGACAGAGCUUCGAGAUCAGCUUACAGGGCAUUUAUGGAGUCCUAUGAGCAUGCUACCAUCGAAGCAAAGAGAGUAUACUAUGCCUCUUUGAUAGAGUCCGCCAGUUCACGCCCGGCAAAAUUGUUCAAAAUAAUUAGAUCUCUAACGACGGUUCCUACCAACCCAAAAAGUGAUGAUCAGGCCCCUUCAGCCGAGGCUUUUCAAAGCUAUUUUGCUGACAAGAUCUCACUACUACGCCGGGACCUCCCCGCCACAACUGAUACAAUGAGAGAACUUGAGACUCCGUGGCCACUUGCUGGGCCCACCCUCAACCAGUUCAUCCCACUGGACGCAGAGGCUCUCGAUAGGCUCAUAGCUGCAGCUGGACCGACCACUUGCUCCCUCGACCCGUGUCCCUCUUGGUUGGUAAAAUCCUGCUUGGAGGGAUUACGUGACCCGUUGCUGAAGAUAAUAAACAGCUCCCUUGAGCAAGGAGUCUUUCCAGAGGGAUUAAAAGAGGCAGUGGUCUCUCCUCUGUUGAAAAAACCAGAUUUAGAUCGUUUGGUUCCCUCCAGCUACCGCCCAGUUUCAAAUCUUUCAUUUCUGGGCAAGGUGAUUGAGAGGGCAGUAGCGGUGCAGCUGCAGCAGUUCCUAGA